UUUGAAGGUUUUGAAAAGCAAGUCGGCAUGGCCAGUUCGCGUCGAUGUGUCAGUUGUUGGUGGUUGUCGGAGUUGUGUCAUCCUUUCAUCUCUUCAUACUGUGAAUAUCUGUGAAUCUGUGACGCAAGCUACUGUGCCACGCACAGUAUCUUCAAACUAACCAGUUGAAUGCCGGCCGAACCAAGAGAAGGUACAAGCGGGACAUAGGAACCAAAUCCGAACUACGGUGUAGAUUCGUGUGAAAGAGGAGGAAGCCGAAGUGAUCUUCAGGAUUUCACGCAUUGCGUUGCUACACGUGCUUUCGCACAAUAACAUGCCUCGAACUUCGCGUGAAACUUCACUUUUACCGCACCAAAUAUGUAAGUCAUAUCUGUACUUUUGUCUACAGGUGAAGCAAGGACAUCGUAUGACAAGCCCAGUCACAAUGAAGCAUUAGAGGAGGUGCUGCAGGAACAGAGACAGUGAUCAUGCAUGGAAGGAAAGAAAUAACACGCUCUUCACAUUGGCAUUGAAAAAGUGUACCUUUGAAUCCUAGGAGGUCCCACUGAGUAGCAAAAGUACCUCCGCAAGGUACCUUCGCAAGAGAUGAGUGAUGAGGACGGAACUGUGGUGAUAGAGCGACUGCUGGUGGCAUUCAGAAGGUUAUGUUGAAGACCGAAAGGUAGAAGGUGUUGGAAUCAUUCCAUCUUGCUGUCCUGUCCGAGAGCUGCCUUGGGCUUUCUGCCGCUCUUUCUAGACAGACGUCGGUGCAACUCCCCCUGAAGUCGUCCCAGGACGCGCACUAAACCCCGUGUCUCCUGUUCUUUCCGUGCUGGCAUAACUGCCUAUAGCAGCAGUUGCACUGCGGUGCUAACGUGCAAGCAAGAAAUUGAAAUAGUCAGCUAGCAGCAAAUUGCAAGCGAAGCCGUACAUGCAUCAGGAAUGCAAGAGUGUACAUGCAUCAUGUUCCAAGGGAAAGGAUAGGAUCAGGGACAAGUUCGAGGAGAGUUUUUGCCAUCCACUAGAUCACCUUCGAGUUCAUCAGGGGAACAUUCAUGUUGAAACACGUCGCCGGUGAAUCUACAUAAACAUCUUGUGCUGUGCAAACCAUGUGAAGCCAUCACUUGUGCUUCCUGUUGUUGCUUGUCUCGUAAUGCUUCGGCAGUUGCGUCUGUCAUUUGAAAAUAGUCUUUUGUUUUUAUUUGUCUUGCUAUUGUUAUAGAUUGUGGCUAUUUCUCCCGAACACGUUGUCUCUGACUACUGUUGCCUGAUAAAACGAGUAAUAGUACAGUUCACUGUACUUUUAUUGAAACCCUUUAUGCUAGCAGGAAGUGGGCUCUCAUAACCAAAUAUUUGUGACUCUUAGAUGUGUAGAUAUAAGUACUGAUUGUGGCUACAAGACACGGGCAGUUGUGUUUCGUGUGAGCAAGGAGUGCUUCCCGUGCGGUGUCACCUGUGCAGCAGUCUCUUCGCCAGCGCGGACUACCUGAAGAAGCACCACCGGG